GAUUGAUAUAUAGCCUGGUGGGAAAAUAUUCAAUAAAACCUUUUGGGCUAAAUGCACAUGACAGUGAAAAAUGGCCGUGUGACGGCCGUCUAAGUAACGGCCGUCAUACGUACAUUUUUAGCACCAGUGAAAGUUUAUGGGGCUAUUCACAUGGCCGUUCUUUUAA